AUGGUUAUUGUUAUUAUGUUCUCUUGUUUGUUUAAGAUUUGUUUGUUGUUCUUAAAUUUAGUGUUUUUUAAGUUUGUAGUCAUGGUGUUUGUUGAAAUGUCUAAAAGAGUUGAGGAUGCAGAUACUGUGUUUAUGAUUGAAAAUCCAAUAAUGGUUGUUGCAAAUCAGGUUCUCUUUUCCACCCAACAAAGAACUUCUUCACACAUGAUGAGUUUAACCAACUUCAAGAACCCUUAUAAUCGAACAUUGCGUCACAAAACUAAAGAAAUGAUCCGUAACUGA